rnacentral:rRNA from 1 species
AGCGUGCGCAGGCGGUUUUGUAAGACUGUCGUGAAAUACCCCGGGCCUCAACCUGGGAAUGGCGAUGGUGACUGCAAGGCUAGAGUUUGGCAGAGGGGGGUAGAAUUCCACGUGUAGCAGUGAAAUGCGUAGAUAUGUGGAGGAACACCGAUGGCGAAGGCAGCCCCCUGGGUCAAAACUGACGCUCAUGCACGAAAGCGUGGGGAGCAAACAGGAUUAGAUACCCCAGU